AGCUCACUGUGUGCACUAGUGUCUCCUCACUUGCACUGGAUACACGAAGCAAGACGUUUUGACUUCCCCGAGAUCUCCCUGAAACCCGCCAAACAUUCACACGGACGGCGGACUACAGUUCCAGCAAACCUAGGCCUGGGGAAAUCAUUAACCAGAGACAAAGCACAACAGCACACUGCUCUAAUGCACAGAACAGUGGCGUCUUUUUCCCGCAACCCAAAGUGUCAGUUUCAUCCUCGUCAUCUUUAGACACGGCUUCUGCCAGCGGCGUUCGAAUCAUGCCCAGAACACACUGCAGCACUCUCCACAGGAAAAAAAGAAAAGAAAAGAGAAUGUACCUGAUGUCUGGAAAGUGAAAAUCGUUUGCUCAAGUGCAGUACAUCUCUAUACCGUUCCCUGUUGGAUGUUAGAAUGUUUGUGAAUUUUUUUUUUUUUUUGCACUAUAUCCUACCUCGCCUAAAAAAGUUUCCAGCCACAUCUCGCAUUGUAUUAUUUGUGUUUAGCUUUGUUUUUC
rnacentral:lncRNA from 1 species